UACGUAGGGGGCAAGCGUUGUCUGGAUUUAUUGGGCGUAAAGAGCGUGUAGGCGGCUAGGUAGGUCCGUUGUGAAAACUCGAGGCUCAACCUCGAGACGCCGGUGGAAACCAUCUAGCUAGAGUCCGGAAGAGGAGAGUGGAAUUCCUGGUGUAGCGGUGAAAUGCGCAGAUAUCAGGAAGAACACCCGUGGCGAAGGCGGCUCUCUGGGACGUGACUGACGCUGAGACGCGAAAGCGUGGGGAGCGAACAGG
rnacentral:rRNA from 1 species